GCCUACUUGGUGAAAUUGGUAAACACGAUAGAUUUAAAAUCUGUUCCUAUUCAAAGGUUAUUGGUUCAAGUCCAAUAGUAGGUA
rnacentral:tRNA from 3 species